UACGUAGGGGGCAAGCGUUAUCCGGAAUUACUGGGUGUAAAGGGUGAGUAGGCGGUGAGAUAAGUCAUAUGUGAAAGCCCCAGGCUUAACCUGGGGACUGCAUAAGAAACUGUUUGACUAGAGUACAGGAGAGGUAAGUGGAAUUCCUAGUGUAGCGGUGAAAUGCGUAGAUAUUAGGAAGAACACCAGUGGCGAAGGCGACUUACUGGACUGAAACUGACGCUGAGUCACGAAAGCGUGGGGAGCGAACAGG
rnacentral:rRNA from 1 species